rnacentral:rRNA from 1 species
CUUAUUGAGAGUUUGAUCCUAGCUCAGGACGAACGCUGGCGGCGUGGAUAAGGCAUGCAAGUCGAAAGGGUUUAGACCCUUGGCGAACGAGUUAGUAAUACGUAGGUACAUCCCUCUGACUCGGGCAUAAUUUGCCGAAAGGCAAGAUAAUUCCCGAUGGUCUCGCAAGAGUAAAGGAUCCCGCAUUUGCGGGAUUCGGUGAGAGAGUGGCCUGCGCCCUAUCAGCUAGUUGGUGAGGUAAUGGCUCACCAAGGCUAUGACGGGUAGGGGGCGUGAGAGCGUGUUCCCCAACGAUGGCACUGAGAUACGGGCCCUACUCCUACGGGAGGCUGCAGUCGAGAAUCUUCCACAAUGG